AGGGUUUGAUCCUGGCUCAGAACGAACGCUGGCGGCAGGCCUAACACAUGCAAGUCGAACGGAUGUAGCAAUACAUUAGUGGCGCACGGGUGCGUAACGCGUGGGAACAUGCCCUUGGGUAAGGAAUAAUGUCUGGAAACGGACACUAAUACCUUAUAAUGACUUCGGUCCAAAGAUUUAUCGCCCAAGGAUUGGCCCGCGUCUGAUUAGCUAGUUGGUGAGGUAACGGCUCACCAAGGCGAUGAUCAGUAGCUGGUCUGAGAGGAUGAUCAGCCACACUGGGACUGAGACACGGCCCAGACUCCUACGGGAGGCAGCAGUGAGGAAUAUUGGACAAUGGAGGAAACUCUGAUCCAGCCAUGCCGCGUGAGUGAAGAAGGCCUUAGGGUUGUAAAGCUCUUUCAAUUGUGAAGAUAAUGACGGUAGCAAUAGAAGAAGCCCCGGCUAAAUUCGUGCCAGCAGCCGCGGUAAUACGAAUGGGGCAAGCGUUGUUCGGAAUCACUGGGCUUAAAGCGUGCGUAGGCGGUUAUGAAAGUCAGAAGUGAAAUCCCCGGGCUUAACCCGGGAAUUGCUUUUGAAACUCCAUAACUAGAAUCCGGUAGAGGUCAGGAGAAUUCCUAGUGUAGAGGUGAAAUUCGCAGAUAUUAGGAGGAAUACCAGUGGCGUAGGCGCCUGACUGGGCCGGUAUUGACGCUGAGGUACGAAAGCGUGGGUAGCAAACAGGAUUAGAUACCCUGGUAGUCCACGCCCUAAACGAUGUGUGCUAGCUGUCGGGCCCUUAGGGUCCGGUAGCGGAGCGAAAGUAUUAAGCACACCGCCUGGGGAGUACGGCCGCAAGG
rnacentral:rRNA from 1 species